AAAAGUCGUAACAAGGUUUCCGUAGGUGAACCUGCGGAAGGAUCAUUAGUGAACAUAGGACGUCCAACUUAACUUGGAGUCCGAACUCUCACUUUCUAACCCUGUGCAUUUGUUUGGGAUAGUAACUCUCGCAAGAGAGCGAACUCCUAUUCACUUAUAAACACAAAGUCUAUGAAUGUAUUUAAUUUUAUAACAAAAUAAAACUUUCAACAACGGAUCUCUUGGCUCUCG
rnacentral:misc_RNA from 1 species